rnacentral:rRNA from 1 species
AUUGAACGCUGGCGGCAGGCCUAACACUUGCAAGUCGAACGGUAACAGGAAGCAGCUUGCUGCUUUGCUGACGAGUGGCGGACGGGUGAGUAAUGUCUGGGAAACUGCCUGAUGGAGGGGGAUAACUACUGGAAACGGUAGCUAAUACCGCAUAACGUCGCAAGACCAAAGAGGGGGACCUUCGGGCCUCUUGCCAUCGGAUGUGCCCAGAUGGGAUUAGCUAGUAGGUGGGGUAAAGGCUCACCUAGGCGACGAUCCCUAGCUGGUCUGAGAGGAUGACCAGCCACACUGGAACUGAGACACGGUCCAGACUCCUACGGGAGGCAGCAGUGGGGAAUAUUGCACAAUGGGCGCAAGCCUGAUGCAGCCAUGCCGCGUGUAUGAAGAAGGCCUUCGGGUUGUAAAGUACUUUCAGCGGGGAGGAAGGGAGUAAAGUUAAUACCUUUGCUCAUUGACGUUACCCGCAGAAGAAGCACCGGCUAACUCCGUG